rnacentral:rRNA from 1 species
CAUCUGAUUCGCGGCCUAUCAGCUUGUUGGUGAGGUAACGGCUCACCAAGGCAUCGACGGGUAGCUGGUCUGAGAGGAUGAUCAGCCACACUGGGACUGAGACACGGCCCAGACUCCUACGGGAGGCAGCAGUGGGGAAUAUUGCACAAUGGGCGCAAGCCUGAUGCAGCGAUGCCGCGUGCGGGAUGAAGGCCCUAGGGUUGUAAACCGCUUUCAGUAGGGAAGAAAAUGACGGUACCUACAGAAGAAGGUGCGGCCAACUACGUGCCAGCAGCCGCGGUGACACGUAGGCACCAAGCGUUGUCCGGAUUUAUUGGGCGUAAAGAGCUCGUAGGCGGUUCAGUUAGUCGGGUGUGAAAACUCUGGGCUCAACCCAGAGACGCCACCCGAUACUGCUGUGACUAGAGUACGGUAGGGGAGUGGGGAAUUCCUGGUGUAGCGGUGAAAUGCGCAGAUAUCAGGAGGAACACCAGUGGCGAAGGCGCCACUCUGGGCCGUUACUGACGCUGAGGAGCGAAAGCAUGGGUAGCAAACAGGAUUAGAUACCCUGGUAGUCCAUGCCGUAAACGUUGGGCACUAGGUGUGGGUCUCAACUAACGAGAUCCGCGCCGUCGCUAACGCAUUAAGUGCCCCGCCUGGGGAGUACGGA